AUUCAUGAUGCAAAUAAUGAUUUAACUAUAAAACAAUUAUAUGAAUACAAUGACAGCAAUAUUAAAAAUAUUUGCCACUAAAGAAAUUGAAGGCCUAUAUAAUUUCCCCUGCAAACUUCAAUAAUGCUAAAGGAAAAGCAACAGAACUAUCUUAUAAACUGUUGCAGAGUAUAAACAAAACAGAAAAUAUAUCACAAUUCAUUUUCUGAGGCUAACAUAACAUAACCUCUUUACCAAUAAUUGAGAAGACAAUGCAGGGAAAAGUCAUUAUAGGUAACUAAUUCAAGAACACAGUGGAAAUAUUAAGCAAGAUAUUAGCAAACUGAUCAAAACAUACAUUGUAGCCUACUUGGUUUAAAUUCAAUUCAUUUUUACACUAGAAAAUCAAAUAUCGUAAUUUAUCUGAGAUGUUGAAUAAGAAAAAUAGUCUGUCACAAUAAAUGCAGAAAAAGCUUUUGACUAACUGCAAUACAUAUUAAUAAGGAAAAUGCUCUUAGGAAAUCAGAAAUGAGUGAAACUUCCACAACCUGAAAAUAGUUACCUCCAAAAGCCAAUAGCAAAUAUAUUCACCAGGAAAUAUUAUUUUUCCUCAGAUCAGGAAUGAAACAAAGAUGCACACUAAUGCCAUUUCUAUUUGACCAUGAGCUAAAAGCUUUCGCCAUUGACUGAAAAAUUUAAUAGCUUAUCUGUGAUCAAUUAUAUUUCAUACAUAUAUAAUAGCAUUUAGUUGUCACUAAGUUUGGUUUAUAUCGAUGACUUGUCCAUUCCCCUUUUUCCUGCACUAGCUUCUUUCUCUUAAACAUGUUGUGAGAUACAUCUAUGUUGCAUGUAGCUGUAUUUCACUUAGUUCCAUUUAUAAAAAGUAUUGCCGUACUAUACUCUAGUUUACUUUCCAUCCUACUGCUGAUAGUCAUUGAGUCAUUUUUAGUUUGGAGUAUUCAUAAACAAAUCUCUCAAACAUUUCUGACACCUUGAUGUAUAUAUGCAAAGACUAAAGAUUAUUCAGAGUACCUAUCUAGAGUUGGAAUUGCUGGGUCAUACCAUACAUGGACCAUCAACGUUGCCAAACUGUUUGCCAAAGUCACUGUGCCAUUGUACACCCUCUACAGCAAAGUAGAAGACAUUUCAUUUCUACAUGGUAUAACCAAUAACACUUGCUAUAAUCAUUUUUUUAAAUUAUACCAGUCUUGAAUCCUGUUUAAAAUUACACAUUCAUAUUUAGAAAUCUUUUCCCUUAUGAUUUUUGUUUUUCAUCUCGUUUAAAAACUCUUUUCAAAUCCAAAGAAGUUCAUGAUAAUAUUCAGGUAUAUCAACUGCUUAAAAUCUUUAUAUUUUUCUCAAAGAAGCAUGGAAUUAAUCCUUGGAAAUGAUAUUGUAUAAGAAUUCAAUUUUAUUUUUAUAUAGACAUGACAAUGUGGUAUCUCAAUUUAUUGAAAUAUCUGUUCUUUCCUUAUUUAUCUACCACAACAUAUCUCUGAUAUAUCAAGGGUCCAUAUAACUAUAGAUCUAUUUUGUGGCUCUCUUUUCUGUUCCAGCAUCUGAUUUCCAAAUGCUUGUACCAAUUCCACAUUUUCUUAAUCACUUUAGCUAUAUAAAAAGUUAUGCUAGCUUAUAGAUAAUCUCCUUCCACCUUGUUUUUCUUUAGAAAUAUUCUGCCUAAUAUACUCUCUUUACAUUUAUAUGCAUAUAAUGAAUACAUUUGUCACAUUCAACAAAAAUAUGAUAUGAUUGGAAUUAUACUGCAUAUACUUAAAAAUCUGUGGAGACUUAAUAUCUUUAUAAGGUGGAAUUGCCAAGAACUCUGAAGGGUCUGAAAUUUUAUUUUACGUGUCAGCUCUCCAGUUAGCCUGCCACAGUUUCAAGAAUGCUGGCUUGGGGAACACAUACUUUAUACUGGGCAAAGAUUAGGCUGUCUAACCCUUGCCUGAGAAGGAGAUAUUAUCUUUUUUACAUGGGAUGUUUAUUAUAUUAAUAUAAUCACAAACAACUUUGAAAAAAUAGUAGGAAAAAAUGGAGUUUGUGAUUCUGAAUGAAUAACAUGCAGAAACAUGAGCGGCCCAUGAAUAGUAUUUUUCCCAACAGGAAUCUUUCCAUCGGCAAUCAUGGCAUAUCUUAAUGUUUAUUUAUAUGUUAAUAUAUCUAGAUUUAGGAAGAAUAUCAUCUCUAGGAGUAAAGAAGAAAAUUUAUAUAUGGAGGUUCUUCCAGGGUGCUUCUGUUUUGCAGGCAAUUAUCCAGAUCUUGAGCUUCAUGGUAUUUAUGUGGAUAUUCUCUUCAUAAGUAUUUCUUAUAAUAUACAUAUAUAUUUUACAAAAUUACUAUGUGUAACAUAUCUCAUGAGAAAAUAAAAUAUGUAAAAUCAUUCUUAAAAAAUAAUAUAAGUAAUACAACCCAAUAGGAGAGAGGACCGAUAUGGAUUUGAGCUAACUUAUAGCUUGGUUGCAUUUGUCUGUUAGUCGUUGUCUGGCUGUGGUUUUUGUACACUUCUAGGGAGUAUCACCCCAGGGAUUCCAACUAAGAGCCUAAGGUUUGUGAAAUCAAUUACAAAUAUUUCUCAAGUACUUUUGACUUACAUGCCUUAUGGAAGAAAAAAGUGCAAACUAUGAUUUUUAUUAUUUUAGAUCAAUGGAUUUUACACAUGAAUAUCUUUGCUAAAUUGAUAGAGUUCUAGCCACUGUGUUUUUGCAAAAAAAAAGUAUACAUAGAAAUGUACAUAAAUACAUUGUCUUAUCUAUAAUUUCAGGAGAUUCAUAGGUCUACAUAAGAACAUUCCCAGAUCAACCGUGAACUCAUAGUUAAAAGCCAGUUCUUUCUUCAGGGUAUUCAACCUAGUUGAGGAUGCAGGACACGUUUUUAAGCAAUUAACAACACUAAUAACAACAUGAAGAACGUUCAAACUGCCAGAUGAAAAGCAUAACCGGUAAUGACUGUAGUAGUAUAGAAGAAUGAAGAGUUAGAAAAAUCUUGGACAUUGAUGAAGCGUUGAUAGAGGAGAUAAGAUCCAAAUGACAAGUAAGAUGAAGAAAACUAGAGAAUGAAGAGGGCUUCUAUGUAAAAUCAACAGAUAGUGAAAAGGCAGAAAAGCAAAAUAAAUGCUGUUUAUUUUUGGCAAAGGUGAUAUCGAUGGGUUGAGUCAAUAUUUAUGUAUCCAAUAAUGUGAAAGUACUAAUUGUGUAGACAUAAGAGCAAUGAGAGAAAAUACUCAAUGUUCUCAGGACACUGCACUCAAAAUGAGGUCACAACUUUAGUUAAGUGAUGUCAAAAUUAAAUCUUAAAACUAUGAAAGAAAAGGAGAAGUAAAUAGAUGUUGGUAAGGUGAACAAGGAGGCAAAACUUUUCUGUCUAUGUGGAUUUAAAAUUUGUUUAAUGGAGACCAGGAUGCUACAGAGUUACUUUUAUAUCAAUUGUUAUGCUUAGAUUUUAUUUUAUGAAAAAUUAAGACAUAGGUAGAGAGAAAUAAACACCAUGGUGCUGACCUCAGAAGAGAAAGAAAUAGCUUUGAGUUAAGAUGCACUGAAUUCUUACAUGUUUAUUUGCAUUACACCAGAACAUCAUUCAGAAAAAGUUUGUAGUGACAUAAAAAUGCAUAUUACUAUGUUUGCUAGGAUUUUAAAAAACAACACCAAGGAAACAUAUAAAGAAACAGAAAAUUGAAAUGAAGAAAAAUAAGGUUAAAAUAUAUUUUGAUAGAGUUCAAAAUUUAAAUCAUAAAUUUCUACAGGUCAACAAAUCAUAAGAAGACAAUGUAGCUGUGGGUUCUCAAGAUGUCAAAGAAAUGUUAGUCAAAUAUUAGUCAAUUAAGACACAUUGUACCUAAAAUAUAAAAGUUUUAAACUAACCAUGACAAUUUUUGGAAUUAAAACUCAACAUAGUUCUUACAUGUCAUUUUGAACAAUAUGUUAUGACAUAUAGUGACUAUGAAACAAUAUUUUUUUGAAAUUGUUUAUAUCUCCUUUUUUAAUGGCAAACUAUAGUAAAAAGUCUAUGAGAGGUUAAAAUUAUGAAAGAACACAUUGAUGUAGAAUUUAAGGUACAAAUUUACAAAUCUAUCACUGUUAUAAAAUAUGAGUUGAUAUUUUUAUAUACAAGGUAUUUUAACUGUGCUUUAAUAAUUAUAAUAGCAAAUGUAUGCUUAAUGGUAUAAGUUAUUUUAAAAUAUAUAAUUGUAUUGCACUGUUAACAAAUACAUAUCUAAAUGACAAGGUGCAUAUCAAUGGAAUGUUUGAAUUAUUUAAAAUUUUCAUUUCCUUAUUGAUUUGUGUGUUCUUUGUUGAUAGUGGACAUACUAUGUUGCCAAUUAUUAGAUUAACAAUACUGAAAUCUGUGAAACGUAUUUCACAUGUACUUUAUUAUUAUAGGCACAAUAAAAUGGUGUCAAAACAAGAGUUAAGAGAGCAUCCAGCAGCUUAAGGGCAAGAACAUCCUACGAUCUCAUUAUAUUUUCUGCAUAAGGAUGCUUGCUUGGGGGACCACUGGAUAUACACAUGGCUUCUACUCUCCUUUUAUUAUAGUCAUAAAGAGCAACUGAAGCUCAUAAAAAGUAGCUGGCAGAUUUGUAAAAGAUAUAACAGUUUGUUCACAGAGUUUCUAUAGAGCCACCAUCUAAGGAAAAUUUCCCUUCCAAAGCAUUGCUAGGAGCUAUUUAUCUUAGAAUUGCCUACUUUGUCACAGUAAACUGAGUAUUCCUCCUGUCAUCUAGUUUGCAAAACAAGGACUAGUUCUCUUUGACUUUUUCCUCAAUAACAGUAAACAGUAUAUACAUGAAGUAUGAGAAUUCAAUACUUAUAGAGUUAUAACUGUCCUGAGGUGAAGGUCAAUGUGUGUGUUUGUUUGCAAGAUAGUUUAUGUUGUAAAUUUAUUAAUUAAUUUGCACCUAUUUUAUAGCCGUUCUGGACAUACACAUGGGCAGAAGAUGUAGCCGCCUUGUGUGAAAAUUUGAGAGCUCUCUACUCCAUCUUCCGCUAGUAUAACCCUCAUUGGCUGGAAUCAUAAUGGUAUCUGCAUCUGGAACUGGCCACUAGUAUAACACCUACAAAAUGCACAACGGCCUUCAGACCAUAUGAAAAGUCUACAGGGUGAGAAUCUGAAAAUCCAGCAAUGAGGAGAAAAAAGUUAUCUCCCAUUAAGAACACUUUCCAGAAGCUACACAAUUCCAGUUAUUGAUUCAUCCCAUUUACUAGAACCUGUUCAUCUGGCUAUGCCCAAAACCAAGGGAAACUGAAAUAGUGGUUACCAUAUUCUGUAACUCAGCCUAGCCUAGCUUCAGAAGUUUUAAUAAAGAAAAUAAAAUGUAUUGAAAUAUUUUUAUAAUAUCUAUUCAUUUCAAAAUACAUUUUUUGUUUCAGCUCAAUCUUCCAUUUUAAUAUUCUAUCACACUCCUUCAUAUAAGUUCAGAUGUAUUUUAACUUCUUUCUGAGGGACAUUGUUUCCUAUAAUCAAAGCAGUUCAACUAUCUGCUAAGUCAGUGCUUUCCUAUUAUAAGCUAUUUUGAUUACAAUCAACCUGUGCAGAACAAUAGGAUGCUUUAGCAAUGACUAAACACCAAUGAAUACUUCCUUAGCUUUACAUAAUGAGCAAAGGAAGUAUGGCCCCAUAGUCUCAUCUCAGUUUCCUUAAGUCACUAUCAAUUCAGGUGUAAAAUACAGAAAACACUUACAUUGAAAUUUUUGAUUCCUCCAAAUGGAAGAUAAAUUAUACAGCAUUGUUGAGUUGUAAUCUCCAAAACCAAAAUUUCUGUGUUUUCCACAUAAGCAACCCAAACUGAGAGUUGCAUAACAGCCCAAGAACUAAACAUUGACACCAGCCUCAAAAACAGACCAUUGAUUAUCACAACAAAAACUUCAAAAUGCACCGGGGCCUCGUGGGCACAGGAGGUCUUUCAGGGAGUG
rnacentral:lncRNA from 1 species